UAUUUGAUUGAACAAAACGCCUAUAAAUAGGACACCUGACGUUAUUGGCCACCAGUUAAUAUCGAUACAGACAAGGCGCAAACAUCAUGGGGCGAAUGAUUGUGUGAUGGGAAUAACAGGACAGUCGUUCCCAUAUAAGACUUUAAUGCGUUAGAGAUAUUGGUAAUUUAUUGGAGAAAACUAUCGAGGAAAAAAACGUUACAAAAAGAGUUGGUUGGUAAAAUCUGUCUCUCAGUUUAAUUUCGACGACGAAAGACUCCUGAAAGAUGAUGUCACUGUGCCGUGUACAUGUGCUUUUUAUAGUCUCGAUUUCUCAGCUUUUAUGUGUUAGUGCAUUUGCCGCGUUCGUUCCAGAAUCAAGUGACGUCAUGGAUGACAUCAAUUAUGAUGCAAUAUCGAAACCAGAUACCGAACCAAUUGAUGAAGGACAGUUCUACAAAAUGUUAAGCAAAAUUCUCACGAGUUAUUUGAACAGAAUAGAACAGCGCGACAUGAUAAACGGUUAUUUAUCGAACACAGAUAUGCCUUAUUACAGACCCACUAAACGGACAUCUGAUGGUUUUACAGGAUUUGCUAAAAGAAAGGUCUUCUGGCAACCCCUUGGUUACAAUCCAACAGGAGGGUCUGGUGAGAAUAGGGGCUCAUCCGGCAGUGGACGAGGGCCAGUCUUCAGAUAUGGCUAAAUCUUCUGUUUCAGUAGUAAUGUCGUGAAAAAACUAAACCAAACAGUUUCCUUAUUUCUCGAUUAGAAGGGAAAUCCAAAGGCCAUGGCGACAUUUCAUAUGCAAUAUAUUCAACAUCAAAUACAACGCACUAUUUCAUAAUAUAACAAUCCGCUAAGAAAAUUAAUAUUGUAAACAAUGAAAGUGCCGUUAUAUUAAUAGUCAUGAAUAAUUUAGAUUUCUAUCAGACAGAAACCGGUGAAACGGAAAAUUACUAUUAGCAUUAGGUUCUCAACUGAUGAAAUCUGACUUUGAUAUAAAUUUUAAUGGACAAUAACUGUUAUUUGUCUAAUUUAUAAAAUGUGUUGAGACAAUGUUAAUCCGCUGUCAUAUUUCUUUUUGUAAUUAGUAUUGAAAUACAAGCAAUAUUCAUUAAGAGACAAAAUAAAUAUGAGUGAAACACUUUAUUGUGUCGCCAACGAUAAGAAUAUCGUUGUUUGCUCGAAAAUUAGUAUGUAAAUUGAAAUUUUACUAUGAGCUUUAAUGUUUAGAAGUAUAAAGUGUCCAAAAUAAAUUCUCUGUGAGAGCACAUUGUA